rnacentral:rRNA from 1 species
AGUGGCGAACGGGUGAGUAACGCGUAGGCACCUGCCCUUUAGACGGGGACAACAUUCCGAAAGGAGUGCUAAUACCGGAUGUGGCCGCAUGGCGAAAGAUGGCCUUACAAGUAGCUAUCGCUAAAGGAUGGGCCUGCGUCUGAUUAGCUAGUUGGUAGUGUAACGGACUACCAAGGCGAUGAUCAGUAGCCGGUCUGAGAGGAUGAACGGCCACAAGGGGACUGAGACACGGCCCUUACUCCUACGGGAGGCAGCAGUGGGGAAUAUUGGACAAUGGACCAAAGUCUGAUCCAGCAAUUCUGUGUGCACGAUGACGGUCUUAGGAUUGUAAAGUGCUUUCAAUCGGGAAAAAGAAAGUGAUGGUACCGAUAGAAGAAGCGACGGCUAAAUACGUGCCAGCAGCCGCGGUAAUACGUAUGUCGCAAGCGUUAUCCGGAUUUAUUGGGCGUAAAGCGCGUCUAGGCGGUUUGGUAAGUCUGAUGUGGAAAUGCGGGGCUCAACUCCGUAUUGCGUUGGAAACUGCCAGACUAGAGUACUGGAGAGGUGGGCGGAACUACAAGUGUAGAGGUGAAAUUCGUAGAAUUUGUAGGAAUGCCGAUAGAGAAGUCAGCU